rnacentral:rRNA from 1 species
UGGCCGCGGGAUUAGGGUUCGAUUAUGGCUCAGGACGAACGCUGGCGGCGUGCCUAAUACAUGCAAGUCGAGCGGAUGACAGAGGAGCUUGCUCCUCUAGAUUCAGCGGCGGACGGGUGAGUAACACGUGGGCAACCUGCCCUGUAGAUUGGGAUAACUCCGGGAAACCGGGGCUAAUACCGAAUAAUCCUUCGGACCUCAUGGUCCGAUGUUGAAAGGCGGCAUCUCGCUGUCACUACAGGAUGGGCCCGCGGCGCAUUAGCUAGUUGGUGAGGUAACGGCUCACCAAGGCCACGAUGCGUAGCCGACCUGAGAGGGUGAUCGGCCACACUGGGACUGAGACGCGGCCCAGACUCCUACGGGAGGCAGCAGUAGGGAAUCUUCCACAAUGGACGAAAGUCUGAUGGAGCAACGCCGCGUGAGUGAAGAAGGUUCUCGGAUCGUAAAACUCUGUUGUGAGGGAAGAACAAGUACCGGAGUAACUGCCGGUACCUGC